rnacentral:rRNA from 1 species
UACGUAGGUGGCAAGCGUUGUCCGGAUUUACUGGGCGUAAAGAGCGCGCAGGCGGUCGUGCAAGUCGCGUGUGAAAGCCCCCGGCUCAACUGGGGAGGGUCACGCGAUACUGCUCGACUCGAAGGCAGGAGAGGGAAGUGGAAUUCCCGGUGUAGUGGUGAAAUGCGUAGAUAUCGGGAGGAACACCAGUGGCGAAGGCGGCCAGCUGGCUCUGACCUGACGCUGAGGCGCGAAGGCGUGGGGAGCGAACGGG